AUGAUCACACCUGAUUAUUUGCUUGUUUUUCUCAUCCUGUCAAUUAACUGGGAAGGUACUGAGGGUCAAACACUGACUGAGUCUGAACCAGUGGUUAAAACACCUGGAGAGUCCCACAGACUGACCUGCACAUAUUCUGGCUUCAAUAAUGAUUACUGGAACGCUUGGAUCAGACAGGCUGCUGGAAAAGGACUGGAGUGGAUCGCUUAUUUCAACAGUGGCAGCGGCAGCAUCUACUACUCUCAGUCAGUCAGAGGGCGGUUUACCAUCUCCAGAGACAACAGCCGAAAGCAGGUGUAUCUGCAGAUGAACAGUCUGAAGACUGAAGAUUCUGCUGUUUAUUAUUGUGCUCGAGAGCCACAGUGA